rnacentral:lncRNA from 1 species
UUUUUUUUUUUUUUUUUUUUGUGGGGGGGAUAAAUAUAUCCACGGUGAAGAUAAGAAUGCAAUCAUCGGUGUGUCACCACUCGCUGAGUCCAUAUUAUUGGUGAAAAUGGUUUGAUAUCAAAGCUACCCCGAGCACAGGUCGUUAUUCGAUAUGGUUUGCCUAAGAUGAAACAAAUAUUUUGCAGACACUGGAAAUCUGCAAGGGAGUGAGACUGUGAGAGGGUGAGUGAGACAUUAGCUGUGAACUGCAAAAAGUUGAAACAAGAUUAAACAGAACAAACAUGAUGGGCCUAAAUGGGCCAUAAAAUAUGUAAGCCCAUAAAAAGAAAUGAAAAUUUACCCUUCCGUAGUUCCAUGCAUAGUACAAAAUAUCGUUAUCGACUAAUGUAUCGAUCUCCAAAAAAUAGAUAUAUCGGGAUAUAUUGGAAUCUAUCGGUGGAUAUUUUACAUGGAAUGUAUCGACUAAUAUAUCAAUUUGUUAUACAAAAUAUAUAUAAAAUCAAAUUUGGAAGUAUAUUUUUUCAUAGUAUUUACCUAAAAAACAUCAUAUCUACUAAAAAUAGAAUAAACAAAUUAUUUCUAAAAAAAAAAAUUUGAAAAAAAAUAAUAUUUCCAGAAAAUAUUGGAAAAUAUAAGUAAAUAUCGAAAAAUAUCGAAUAUAUCGGAAUAUAUCGAAAAAUAUCGGCCGAUAUUUUACAGAUACUUUAAGGCGAAAAUUUCGGAAAUAUAUCGUAUCGUUUUCUUUGAAAACCGAUAAAUAUCGCGAUAUAUCGUGAUAUAUCGCGAUAUUUUGUACUAUGGUUCCAUGUUCUCAUAAACUUCCUUCUAAGGAUGUAAAUGGUGCGGGUCAGACCCGUUUCCGAACCAUAUCUGUAUCUAUUUUAUCGGGUUUGGGUGUUUAAAAUGGAUCCGAAUACAAAAAUGGGUCGGAUCUGGUAAUCAAAUAUUGGACCCGAAUCGGAUCCGGGUCGGAUAUGGAUUUACACUAUUUGGGUCGGAUCCUCCUACAUCCAUAAAAACUUAGGGUAUCAAUGUAAAUAAAAUUCUAAAACUUUAUUUUUAGUUGAAAAAUGUGGAUAAUCUUUUACAUAAACCAAAAUAGAUUUGAUGAAUAUAUCUAAAGAAAUAAAAUUUGAUUUAAAAAAGAAAGAAGAAGAAAGAAAGGAAAAAAGAAGAAGGUAAGAUUAUUAGAAGAAAAAAAAAGGAAGAAUACAAAGACAAUUAUUAAAGUUUAACUCUAUAUCUCAUCUUUCAUUUUCUUCAUUUUCUUUUUAUCAUUCCGAUGUUUUUAAAGUCAAUUAUCAGUGAAAGUAAAUAUGGUUGUAGUUUUUAUAGAUAAUUUACGAAGAAUGAAGUUUUGGAAUUGAUAUUAUCUAGAUCCGAUGACUUUGUUAAUUCUUUGAUGACUACAAUUAAUUCGGGUCAAUCGGGUCGGAUCUGGAUUAUCCAUAUUGUAAACGGUUCGGAUAUGGUUAAGUAAAAUGGAUCUGAGUCGGGUAUGGUCCCAGAUCCAGGUUCAGGUAAAAGAAAAUGGAUCUAGAUAUGGAUAUAUAGUGAUCCGACCCAAACUCGCACCAUUUACAUCCCUACUUCGGUACUUCCUUCUCAAAUGAUGGUUUAACGAAGAAAAUUAUCAUUUGAUCUCUUCUUUAUGUUCAUAUCUAGGGUUUCUAUUUCUUUACCAUCAUAUAUCAAUAUAUCAUAGCUUAUUCUUAGUCAGUUCUGAAACUUGUGAAUUUAUUUGGGAAAAUUGGUUAAAACCCCCUAUAUUUUGACUGGGUUUGGGUGAACCCCCCAAUGUUGUCCAACAUUGGCGUUAACCCCCUUCCGUUAAGCAACUCCCAAAUUUCCGUCCAUUCAAAGUUUGUUUACCCAUUAUACCCCUAAUUUAAAUAAUUUGUCUAAGGUAGUGUUUGUUUCAACAAGUGUUCAGCAAUAAGUGAUUUUUAAGUGGUGGACCAGGCUAAUAAUAAGCGAAAAGUUAUUUUUAUGUUGUUUGUUUAGAACCAGUGUUCAGAACAUAAUGGACUUUUUCAGCCAUUUUGAACCAGCACAAAUCUCAUGCUUAAUUUAUCUUCUUAAUGCUUAUUCUAAUUUUAUGACAAUUAUACCCAUGUAUAAUACCUUUCAUUAUACGUAUGUCCAAAGUCCACGUAGGAUUCCUUCUUCUCUAAUCUCAUGAGGAACCGACUUGCACUCUUGACCCUUCCAAGCUAACUGAUUAAUACAUAUUAUAUUUUAUUAUAUAAUCAUAAAUACAUAAUCUACUUAUUGAUCUUUAUAAAAUAAGGCCCUAUCUGUUUGUAGAUUGUGGAUGAAUGUGCAGUAUAUAAGUCAAUAAUAGUCAUUAGUCAUGAAAGAUCCAUUCAAUGUGUUCUUUCUAUGAUAAUUCAUUAGUUAUAUCAUAUGCAUUGGGUUUAAUUAUUAUAAAAAUAAAAAUGAUGUAUAUAAAUGCAAUUAAUUGUCUCGAUUUUUUAAUAUGUUUUUAUUUUGUUUGAUUUUUUUAACCAUGUUUUCUAUAUAAGUAUUUCUUAAAUGUUCAAUUAUUAUUUCGUGAUGUCAUUUUUAAAAAAAUUAAAAUUUCAGUUUAAUUAAGAUGCAUCCAAAGACUAGAAUAAAAGAGGAUAAAUUUGUCAAAUUUAAAAUAAUCAAUUGUAAAACAGAAGUUUUGAAAAAUGAUAAACAAACAACUUUUUCAGCAUUCAGUCUUCAGCAUCCAGCAUUCAGUAUUCAGCAUUCAGCAUUCAGCAUUCAGCAACCAGUAUUCAGCAUUUCAAACAAACACACCCUAAACCUCCAAAAUUUUGCUUACCCAUUAUAUCCCAAUUCAAAUUAGUGGAGUUAGCUUUGAUAACCAAUUUUUGGGUUUAAACAAAUUCACUUGAAUCAGGGGUAUAAUGGGUAGUCAAACUUUAAAUGAACGGAAACUUGGGGGUUGGUUAACGGAAGGGGGUUAACGUCAAGAUUUGACAACAUUAGGGGGUUCACGCCAAACCCGAUUAAAAUUUGGGGGGUUUUGACCAAUUUUCCCAAUUUAUUUAUCAAUAUGAUGACAAUGGAAACGGGUACGAUAUCUUGCCUCCCUAGAGAUUUCUUAAACUUGUUGAUAUCUUCACCAGACUUUCUAUUGAAGACAUCUUGCGGUGCAGGUUUGUUCAAAAAGAUUGGAAAUGAUCCUUUGUUAAUUGAAUUAUAUCAUUCUAGAAUAAACAAAGAUGAUCCCAAUUUUCUUGUUGUUUGUCAAACUAUAGAGUACAGAUGAUGAAGGUUUAAGUGAGAUUUACUUGGUAAAUGAUGAAAACCACUGUUCGGCCAUCGUAUGGAUUAUGCAUGACUAUGGAAAUCAAGAAUCAUGGACUAAAGAAUAUAUCAUUAACCAAGAAUUGCUUCGGCACUGCCCCUUUUUAUCAAAUUUUACGAAGGGUGGGGAAUGACAGGAUCUUAUUGCAUAGUCGUAAUGGUGAAGGUUAACAUAUGAAACAUUUUCUUAUUCGUGGAUUACCACUAAAGUACCAAGUACGUAAAUUUGGAUGCGGUUGUUCACAUCGGAAGCCUCAUUUCACCAGGAAGACUUGCUAAGUGUUAACUGUUGAAGUGCACCUGCCAGACCAACAUCAGUUCACUUAAAAGACUUGCUCAUAUAUAUAAGUGCCCCUGCCAAACCAAAUCGGUACCUAGGUUUCUUAGCUGAUGGGAUUUUAUUUCAAUAGUUCUUUUAUUAAGUUUUUUUUUUUUUUGAUUGACAAGCGGGGUUGAGGGGACCUCUACUCUUUAAAUUACGUAUGGAAACUUAUAUCAACAAUCAACUGUUGACGUGUCAGGGAAUUCAGCUGUCAAUCACUUGAAAGGCACAUACAUACCAACAGUGGAUUAGGACAUCAUGUGGCUUAGCUAAAAUGCUCCAAUCAGAUCUACAUGAAACCCAUACUUUCACGGAGUCAUGUUUCCGCAAUGCAAAUUUAGAAUCAAUAUCAAUGCCCCUCAACAAAUGUAGUAACCAAUUGGUGGUCUUACAAUAAAUCCUCCAGUAGAGCUCAACAAAACUAUGCCAAAGAUCCCAUAAAGGCUUAUACAGUUAGUGUUAUGGGGUAAAGUCACUCUGUGCACUAGUCAGAAAGGCAACCUUACUUAUUCACAAUGCAACUUCAUGAUAUUCUAUUCACGAAGAUGAAAAUUGAUGAUACGUUCCCUGUGAGGCAAACUGUAUUUCCAUUUUUCAAUAUUCUUCUAUAUAACUAGCUACAUCUCUCUUUGAUUGAUUUGAAAUUUUGAACAAUAAACACCAACAACCAAUGUGUUCCGUAAAAGAAAUAAUAACAUGGACUCUUCACGGUUCAUACUAUGAAUACAAGGCUCACUUUAAAGUUUGAAUAGCAGCACAGAAAGUAAAACCAUUUUAUCUUCAUCUGUCACUCAACCACGAAGGGAUGCUCUAGGUACAGCAGGUAAACCUAAUUCGUCUUCCGCCUAUAACGUAACAAAGAAAGUCAAAUGUGAGAAAAAACUAUUGCCACAAUCUUGGCAAACAAAUGGAUGGUAUUGUUUAACUUUCGAGUUUAUCAAGCAAUUUAGAUGGAACAAAUGCCUAUAUAGCAGCAAGUGUACCUGAGUAUUGUUCCUGUUGGGAGCUACGGCAUGGCCUGAAGGUGCUGACGGUAAGUUCAGUUCUGCGUCAAAGUCACUUUCCUUAUCAGCUUGGAGAUAACUAGGCACUCCAUCGGACUCGGUCUCCAUUCCCAUGUCAGCUUCUAAGGCAUCAAGCUCUGUGGCAAAACAACACAAAAAAAAAAAAAGAGAGAAUGAAAAAGAUUGUCAAAACAGGACUUGAAAAUUGCAGGGAAAUCACUGAAAUCCACAGACAAAUAGAAAAACUAUCCAACUCUAUAUUGGCUUACCGCCCAUAAGUUCUUCCUCAUCAAUGUCAUCUGGAACACUAUAACUUCUACCAAGAGACUCUUGAAUUUCAUUGCUUACAUCCAUCAAAUCCAUCAUUUCAUCUUGCAUACUCUACACACAUAAAUGUUCAUUUUCAUAAGUUGACCAAGUAUUAUAUAUAGGCCUACUUACACAAAAACCCCAAAAUUGAAACUAAUAAACAUACUCACAUCUAUAUCUUGAAUCUUAACAGUCUUCAUCAUUCCUUUCAACUCCUUGUUAGCAGAUUUCAAAGCAGUCAUCUGGAAAUCCAUGCAACAGCAAGUUCAUGAUGGAAGUUAGUCUACCAAAAUAUCUCAAAUAAGCCAAUAAUUACCACAAACAUGACUGAUUGGCUUGGAGUAUUUAGUCGCUAUCAAUAAUGCAUUUAUACCUGAAAGUUUAUACUCUACGUAAAACAAUAUGACUUUAUAUUGAAUCAAUUGUCAAUGUAUCUGAUAACAUAUUGUAAGAUGCAAAUACAGAAGUAAAGGUAGAUAUAUAGUAAACACAUACAGUUUGUUGGGCGUCUUUUAUUCCUUCAGCAGCAAAUGCAACUUGGUCAAGGUUAAAAGUCUGAUUGUAAAGCAUGUCACGUUGUCCUUCAUACCUGACAAGAGUGUAUUGACAUCAACAUAAUUAUUUGUAAGCUAACCAAAAAGAACUGAAACUAAAAACACUCGUGAAACAGGAGAACCAUCCCACAAGUAUAUCAUAAAAGAUGGUAAGUUUAUUAUCAAUAUUGGGGUUAGGGUUGGGACUUAGUAGGGAUUCGGGGGUUAGGAAGGGUAGCUGUUGGCUAAGACAUGCAUUCUAAAAUCUUAGGAGACCAAAUAAUUCAUGACCCUCUGAGUGAACAUCAGAAACACCCGCAUCUUAAAAGAAAAAAUCUGGUACUAUAGAAAAUGAAGAUCUAAAAGACAUUUUAAAGCGAGGACUAGGAGACAACACAUAACAUCUGAGCCAUCAAUGAGUAAAAGGGUGAAAACAUAAAACUAUGAGCACAAAACAAACCAUAAAGACACAAACUCAUACUUACUUAUUAAGAAUAGAACAUGCACUCUAGAAAUCUCACUUAUUAAUCAAACAACUUUUCCUAUUCGUAAAUGCUAAAGCUACAUAAUAUUCUGAUUGCAUGAUGGAACAUAAAUCUAACGUGAUGAUCAAUGGCACAGCACAGCUUAUGCUUUAAAGCAGUAGCAGCAAUGGGACAAAAACACGUACAUACGCUUUUGCUUGAGAACCCUCAUGGCCCGAGCUUUGACAGCUUCUUGAGCAGGACCAGGUCGCAUCUUUUUUAACUGCUCUUUAUAUUUACUGAGCUCAGCAUCAAGCCUUUUAAUCUUUUCAUCAACAGUUUCGCCUCUUUUAUUUAUCUGCAAGUAUUUUUGGACAUCAGCCAAAGAUUAUUGAGAGUAUACAAAGAAAAACUUGAACUGAAGGAAACCUCUAAAGACUAAAGCUCAUAUGUUAUCCAUUAUCAAAAAUCAAGUAAACAAUCAAACAAGCCUAAAUCAUUUAAAACAAAAUAAGUUCUCCAACAAUCCAAGAAAUGUGCAGACAGGUAACUCAUAAGUCAUAACAACGACACAUUGAUAACUAAUACCUGUUUAGUGUAUAAAGCUCAUUUAAAAUGGAAACAAGACAAGAUCAACUGGCACAAAUUGAUACAAAUCCACUCUAGACAAUAGAAGUUUCACUCAGCAGGUCAAAAGGGCGAUCCAAAUGAUUAAGGUGUGUUUGAUUUGUUGCGGAGAAUUAUUUCCAAAGAAAAUAGAGGACACUAUUGGAAGAAGAUGGGAAUUCAGGAAAAUGAGACAAAAAUAAAUAUAUGUUGUGUUCUCUUCUAACUUUUAUAACAAUCCAAUUAUGCCUUGAAUAUCUUCUGGAAAAUCAAAAUUUUGUAAGAAAAAACACCCAUAUAUGUUUCCAUAUCAUUCGCUCAGUUCAAGAAUUUGUAACAUCAGCUCAUGUUUCCAUGUCGUUUGCUCAGUUCAAAAUAUUGUAACAUCAACUCAGCUUCUGGUUUCAACUGCCUGGUUGAAAUAGUUUCAUUCAGUUUAACAAAUAUCAGCUAAUUUAGUGUGAUUAUCACUUAUUGUAAUAAAAGAUUCACACCCACUAUUUCAUUUGGCACAGACCAAGCUUGGUAGAACGUUACACCAUUCCUCCUCCCUCAAAGAAUUAUAACUCUGAAACCCCCCAAAAGAAUCUUCGAUGAAAAACACAGGUCCAAAACUUUAAAUCCUCCAUACAAUAUCCUUUGCAAUUGACAGAAGAAUAACAUUAACCAUUCACAAAGUUGUCCCUUACACUCACACUUUUUCGGACUUGGGGUGGCAUGACAUCUACUAUUAGUCUACUAAUAACUACAAUCCCAUAUACUAUUUCAACUUGCUUGUAUCUUACCAUUUCCAUAUACCAAUUGGUAAUGCAAGUGGUUGCCGGGUUAAUUAUUUAUACUAUGUUAAAUUCAAAAUUACACCCAGUUGCACUAUUAAGUAACAUGGAUCUUUCUAUGGAGUCUUUUAAACAUACCAAAGUAAGUCUUAAACCAUUUAGAAAUCUAAGUAGAACUGUGAGUCUAUCCUCUUACCAUACAUUCCGUAUUACCAAGCAUGAUAAAAAAAAAAAACAUCUUAAAGAAAUUCCCUUGUAUUUUGAUAUAUCUCAAUACCCUGUUUAUCAUUCACAUAUAAAUCGAGAUUAAGACUUCUAUUUUCAUAACAAAAGUAUAACAAGAGUCUGGUACUAAAAUAAAUAAGAGAUACUAGAAUGUAAUUAUGGACAUGAAGGCUUAAGAACAAACAUACAUCUAAAUUGUGCAUAUAGAACCAAAGUUGUACAUAAGUUCAAUAAAUGCAUUGACGCUUAAGGUAGAGUAACAGACGAUAUUACACAUUAGCUCCACCCAAAACUGAAUAAAGUAACAGAUAAUAAUCAUCUAAAACCCUAUUCUUGUUUCACUCAAUGUUGCACUCAAGAUGACGAAAUAGAAAACAGGUUAAAUCAAAUUUCCAUGAAAUUCGUGUAAUUGCAGAGAUUCUCAAUUUCGAUUUCAAACUAAACAACAGUCAAUCGAAUUGCAAGAUACAAAUCUUAAGAAAGUUUAGCAAGAUAAACAAGGUAAAUUUACCCUAUCGGUGGCAUCAUUAAUCGACGGUGGUGGUUCUUUCUCUUUCUUAACACCGAAAACUCUCCUCAUCUUUUCUUCCUUAGAUCGAUCGAUCGAAUCAACAAAACGAAUUCCUUAAAACAAUCUAUUCUGAUCUGAAUCAAAGUUGAUAAGGGUUUUUUUGAAGUUUUUAAGAUAAACUCGAAGAAUUUAAAAAGAACUAGGUUAUCAGUUAUAUGAUUAUGAACGAAAGUAAAACGAAAACAAUAAUAAAAAUUAAAAAAAAAAUCGAAAAGAAUUAAGUUGAAGAUAGAUGGAAAGAUCACCCAAGUCUGGGAGAUAUAACGUAUGUUGUGUAUCACGAGAAAGUUAGAAAGAAAGAAACUAUAGAAAAACUACUGUGUAGAUUCCGAGAAAGUGGUCCAACACAAAGAAAGACUCUAAAGUCAAAGUAGAUUAAACGCGUGUUCAGUUCAAUGUUGACAGCAGGCCAACUAACAGCCCAUUACUCUGUGGCCCAUAUGUCGUACUCUUUUAGGCCCAUUUAUAUAAUUUGAUGACUACAACUGAGGGUACUUUUGGUAUUAUGAAACAGCUUCAAAUCAUCGUGUAUUCGUGUGUGUGUGUGUGUGUGUGGUAAUUAUAAUGGUUCAAAAUGAUUAUGAAUAAACUAGUUUUUUUUUUUAGUUGAACAAUCAGUUUCAUUAUUUGUUUAUUUGGUUUUUUUUCUUGGUAAGGAAUCAAUUAUAAUAUUUGUUAAUUUAGAAAAGUUUAAAAAAUACUUAUUAGUUCAUAAAUCAUUUGAAUUUGUAAUGACCAAUUCUCUUUAACAUUUUUUUUUUCUUUUGGUGUACAGGCAAUGAUAUCAUUUUCAGAGGACUAGCUAGGAAAUUUGAAGAUCUCAUCAUCAACUGGGAUAUGAUCCUGGUGCUGGACAAGCAACUAAUUAAGGAAAAGAAGCUGCUGAUGCUUGAUGUGUAAGUGGUAACAGUCCUUUUGAUGCUCUACAUAGUCUCUUCAAUUCACCUGUUAUGUGGAGUCUAGCUGUAAUGCAAAUAUAAUGCUAUGGAAGUAUCGACUACUUCACAUUACCUGACGCUAUACCGACCCAUGGUGUAGGCUGAUCAGGUUUGUAAUUUUUUUACCAAUAAUUAAUAAAAUCAAUAUUUAACCACACAAAAAAAAUGUUUUUUUUUAUUGAUUAGUGGACUAAAUAGUCAGAUUAAUCAAUUACUUAGUGGACUAAAGAAUCUUUAUUUUUAUUUUUAUUCAAGAUGAUGAGGAAAUUUUAUUGAUAAAUGAGAAAAUUACAGAAAGGUGGAUAGGGUGCCGAUCCCUUCUGAAUAGCAAAUCCAACCCUUCGAAAUAUAUACUGUAUUCGUUACCAAAAAAAAAAAAAAAAAAUUAUGCUACUUAGUUCAUCAAAAUUUCAACAAACAUGCAAACCCAUCAAUAUAUAAGCUUUAGAACUCCAUAUUAACAUACAAACCAGCCACACAUUUAUUCAAAAGCAACAUAAUGCCAACAAGGGCAUUGUUAUUAGGUCUAUAUAGCUAGCGCACCACCACUAUAUAUAUUUAACACAUUCAUGGCAAACAAAUCCAUAUAACUGACAUAUAUAUCUGAAAGCACAAGGAUGAGUGAUAUAUCAGUAGGAGUUUUAAUAGUCUUCAUCUGACUUCUUCUAUGCCUUGGCGGCAAUGUGAGCAGCCAAUUUGUCAUUGAUCAUUGCAAAAAGGUCGAGAUAGUGAUGCGGAUCAGAAAUACCCUCACUGCACUUUCCAUAUUCAACUGUCCAUUUCACUGAGCACCCCUCAUUCAGUGGAAUAACAUGAAUCUUCACCAGAAAACUUUGAUAAUGGUUUGCCAGAUCUCCUUCAAAAACGUUAAGAACUAUCCACAUGUUUUCGUCAUCAAUAAGCUCAACCUUCUCUUUACAACUCAAAAGCUCAGUACUUCCUGUCAUGAAAACAAAAUUUGAUUUAGCAUAACAUAAUAAGAAUAUACUAAAAACUUGGAUUAAUUUCAUAUUUUAGUAGUCUCGAUCUGAUCGAUCUAGGGGCUAAUUAUAGGAAUUAACACAUUUUUCUGGUAAGUGAUUAAUAAGAGCAUGUCACGGUUAAUGAAUUGAAGCAGGCAAGAGACUUGUGGAAGCUUAAAUCUUUGUUAUAGUACCUGGGAGAACAUAUGUCCAAAGCCUAACAGUUCCCACAGUUUCACCAUCACCUUGGAGUAUUUUGGAAGUUUUGUAGGUCUCAGGGAAGACAACCGGAAGAUGGUGUAAAGUAUACUUAAUCAUUUCAUAGAACUUGUGAGGAGGGCAUUUCACUUUGGUUGCAAUCUCAAGCUUAUUAGAUUCUGCAGCCAUUUUACGAAGCAAAUGCGCAAUGAAGAUGAAUAGGCUUCAGGUGUACUGUAUGCCACAUUAAAAUGCAUUGCACGGUAUAUAUAAUGCAAACACAACCACCUAUGUCGAGAUUCAUGUGUAAAAUUACUAUAAAUAAAUGAAAUAAUAUUUUCUUGGAAGACCGGAAGAGUGGAAGGUUAGUUUUAUUUAUUUUAUAUUAUUUAUUUUAUAAUAUAAUUGAGAGCCGGCUAUUGCCAAGGCAAUAUUUGUUAUUGCAAAGAUCUAUUUUCUAUUAGACUUAUUUACCCCUCAAAUAUAUUAUUAUAUUUCUCUCAAUUUAGGUUUAAUUUUUUAAAAAAAUUCUUCACUUUAAAUCAAAAAAAUUUAACAAAUCCAAAGUAUAAAAUUAUUGGUGUAACUUAAUUCAAAUCCCACUAGGGUUCAUUGCACCUAUACGUGGUAGUGUUUUAUUUAUCCUACCAAUCCUACACCAAAAAAUUGAACAAAUAAUAGGUUCAAGAUUAUCAGCCUCUCUCUAUAUAUAGUUUCUGAUAAUGUAGUCCCUCAACAUGCUGAUAGUUAACAAUGCAUACAAAAGAUUAAAGGCGUACGUGCAAAUAUUGCCGAUCUGUUUCAGUGACUAGAUUGAAGGCAGGAGGAGCAGAAAGUCAGAAACUGGUUGAAAGUCGUCAGUAUGUAACUUGAAAGAAACAACAUCCAUAUCCAUAAACUAAAAGAAUGGACAGAGACAGAUAUCAUUUUCAGGACUAAUUCAACAAAUAAACAACUUUCGAAAUGGUUAUUACACACAAUGAGAAAUAAACAAGUAAACAAAUACAUCACAAACUUAUUACAGAUUGCUGAAAAAUGUAAUUUUCCUGCUAUUUUAAUGGUCCACUAGACUUCAUUGAGGCCUUCGGCAACAAGGUGAGCAUCCAACUUGUCAGUCAAUGCCGCAUAGUGGUUCAUAUAGUCAUGUGGAUCGGGAAAACUCUGAUCUAUCUUUUCAAACUCAAUAGUACAUUUAACUAAGUAUCCUUCUUCUUUUGGAUUGACUUGAAUUUUCACCACAUAAUGUUUAUAGAGAUUCAUGGCAUCUCCUUCCAAUACGUUAAGAGCCAAGAACAUUUUUUCAUCGUCAGCUUCUUCGAUCCUUUCCUUAGCAAUCAGAAGCUCAGAAGUCCCUGUUGUAGCCAUCAAUCAAUAAAUAAUAACAAGAACAAACACUAUGAUAUGCAAGAAAUAUUUGAUCUAAGAAUAAUGAACAAUUGUAAUUAACUUAUAUGAUCUACAUCUUACCUGUAACAACAUAUUUCCAAAGUUCAAUACUGCCUGUGCACCCACCAUCACCUUCAAGUAUUUCAGCACUCUUGAAUGUUUCAGGGAAGAUGAUAGGGUAAUAAUGAUGCUUGUAUUUAAUCAACUCAUACAGCCUUCGUGGAUUACUCUUCCCUUCCUUUGUCAUCUCAAGCUUACAGAUCUUAGUCUCAGCCAUUUCUUCCACACCAAACAAAUGAACAACAAUAACUAAAACAGGCUAGGGAAAAUUCCUAGAUACAUGAAUAUUUAAUUGACAAAUUCCUAAUCCACCCCGUUGACAAAUUGACUAUCACUAAGGAACCAGUUGUUAAUGGCUUUUAACUACCACUAGGAGCCUUUCACUCUUUCAUUAAUUAGGGUUUAAAAUAUUUUGAUAGUGGUUCUAUGCUAGGUUGACAUAAAUAUAGUCAUUGGUUGACAUACAGCCAGGAAGUAUUCACCCAGUUCUGCCAAAGAGUGGCACCUGGGUGGAAAAGGGAAGAUAACUCCACAGCUUCAAAUAUAUUUGUUAAUUUUUCCCUUAAAAGUCCUUAAAUUUGAAUAAGUAAUAUGAGAAUAAAUAUUUGGAGGAGUUUUUUUUUUUUUUUUUUUAGUUAAUGUUUCUUCUUCUUUCAACAGUAAAUUCACUACAUGUAACCUAGAAUAGACAUAAUUCAGGUACUAUCUUACCAAUAUCCCAAGGUGAUAGUACCCACACAAAGUGAUGGCUGGUUUCAAGUCCUAGUGAAAAUGUACAUCACCCUCAGAUAGCAAGUCUUAAUAAUAAAAAAAAAAGCUAUCGUUAUGAUUCAGAGAAUGAGAGGAACAGCUUCACAACUGUGUUAAAAAGGGAUUAAUACAAUAGACGUGUAUAAACUAUAAAGAAGACAGGUGCACUAUGCAUAUGAUAAUGAAAACAGAAAAUAAUAUAUUAAACUCGAUCUUAUGAUCUGGCCAAUGCCCACAUCCUGUUAUCGAAUCAAAUAUUCCUGAAACCAUUCUGGAAAAUAAUCCAACAAACCAUGGCUCACAAGGAAAGCACUUGAUGAUGUCUCAAUCGAUCAUCUGUAAUCUGUUCAUCUUUCACUUAUUAAUUUCAGCGAUCCAUCACACUUCAUUUAGGCCUCGGCAACAAGCUGAGCAUCCAACUUGUCACCAAACAUGAUAAACAUAUUCAUAAACUGUUGUGGAUCUGGUCCUUCCUCAUUUCCCUUUUCAUACUCAAUAGUCCAUUUAACCAAGCUCCCUCCACCCUUAGGGAUAACUUGCAUCUUUAGCAGAAAACCAUUAUAAUGAUUGGUGUGAUCUCCUUCAUAUAUGUCCCAAACUAUCAACAUAUUUUCAUCAUCAAUCACUUCAGUCUUUUCCUUGGCAGUUAAAAUUUCAGUUGUCCCUGUUAAAAUUAUCAUUAUGCACGAAUACAUGAUUAGAUGAUGAGAUUGUAAUAUUUAUAUAUAUAUAUAUAUAUAUAUUUGAUCAUUCUGAAUAUGUAUGUAAAUAUUAAUACCUGGGAGGACAUAUUUCCAAAGCCUAACAGAACCAACCCUCUCACCAUCUCCUUCAAGUACAUCAAUACUCUUGUAUGACUCAGGGAAGACAGUAUGGAGGUGAUGAAGAGUGUAUUUGAUCAUACUGUAGAACUUCUGAGGGUUACACUUUAUUUCCUUUUCCAUCUCAAGCUUACCAGUGUUAUUAGUUGCCAUAUUUUCUUCUAAAGAUCGAGACCUCAACUUAAGAACACAAUACUGCUAUUUUCAUAUUGGGACUUGAGACUAGGGAAUCAUAUAUAGCUCAUGAAUAAUCCCAUGUCAUCAAUGAAAAAUUAAAAUAAAAAUAAAAUUUCAUCAAGAAAUUGAUAUGUGGUCUACGUCAUAACCAUUUGAUGUUACUGAUAGUUGUGAGAUAUUGAAUAUUGUACAAUUCUAAAUUGAACAAUAAAAUUUCAUCAAGAAAUUGAUAUGUGGUCUACACCAUAACCAUUUAAUGUUACUGAUAGCUGUGAGAUAUUGAAUAUUGUACAAUUCUAAAUUGAAGAUUUGCAGUUGAAGAAUAAUAUUGUAGUUGCAAAAUGAGGUUAUGUGUAGCUCUACUGUACAAUUCAAUUGAAUGUUGUUAGCUCUAUUGGCAUAUAAAAAGCGACUAACAAGAACAUCGUGGAUCUCAAAUGAAAUGGAUUUGCCAAACCAUUACAAAAUCUUUUAGCAAAAAGAUUUUUAGCCUGUCAGACAACCGUGUGACCAUCUCAAGCCACCAGGGUAGCUGAGAACGAUCCUCUACAGCCAGAAGACUCACAUCUUGAAUCUCAGAGAUUAAUCACGCUCUGAUCACACGGUCCUGGUUCAUCCACCAAGCUUUAGUUACCGUCUCCUCCACUCAAGGAUACAGAGGUACUUCCUAUAGAACAGAUCCUGUUCAAGUAAGGUCGUACUAAAAACACUCGUUUCUUUGUUCAAAUAGCAUUACCAAACAUGUUAUUUGGUCAAUGUGGGACUAAACAAGGUAAGGUUUAACCGUUUAACUAGUGUAUAUCCCAUCCUCGAUUCUGCUGUUUGAGCUCAUUUUUCCCACCCACCUUAAAAGGUCUGAAACUGCAUAAUAAUAUAUAUCUAACAGAGUUGAACUUGGGUUUUGCAUAAGAAGAUAUUUCUCAUCGAGUCUUUCUACUCGGACUGUGAUUCAUGGCCAAUUAAAACUCCUUUUCAGGCUAGAUUGGGGCUAUUACACACUGACCGGCUAACUACAUCAAAAUAUAAUUGUAUAUCUCAACAAUGUGGCCUUCAAACUAAUACAUAUUGUUGAGCUGACGAGGCCGGGGGCUAUAGAAGAAGUUUCGUUUAAAAAAGCGGUUGCAGAUAUUUCCUUGCAGCUCUGUCAACAGUUGGAUGCAAAUACACUAGGCGUCACUAAGAAAAUUGCAGGCAGAUAUGCACUGAAACUACAUACAGUAUUAUCAGCGUUCCCUUCGAUGAAGUAAUCAGAAAUUUUAUGAGCAAAAACAGUUUCAAUUUUAUGACCAUCACUGCAGUUGCCACUCUGUUUCAACUUUCAACUAGUUGCGAACUAAAGACGUACUUGUUCC